rnacentral:lncRNA from 1 species
UGCCUUUUGGAGUUCUAUGGGAGUUCCAAUAAGGUUUAUGUCAUCGACAUAUACGGCAAGUACAACAAAUUCCGAUGUUGUUUUCUUUUUAAAAACACAUGGGAAAAUGGCAUCAUUUAUAUAGCCUUCCUUAAUAAAUACUCACUAAGACGAUUAUACCACAUUCGUCCUAAUUGCUUUAGACCAUACAAAGAUCUUUGCAAUUUGAUUGAAAAC